rnacentral:rRNA from 1 species
UACGUAGGGGGCAAGCGUUGUCCGGAAUUAUUGGGCGUAAAGAGCGCGUAGGCGGUCCGAUAAGUCGGCUGUGAAAGUCAAGGGCUCAACCCUUGAAAGCCGGCCGAUACUGUCGGACUAGAGUCCGGAAGAGGCGAGUGGAAUUCUUGGUGUAGCGGUGAAAUGCGCAGAUAUCGGGAAGAACACCCGUGGCGAAGGCGGUUCUCUGGGACGGUACUGACGCUGAGACGCGAAAGCGUGGGGAGCGAACAGG